GACGAACGCUGGCGGCGUGCUUAACACAUGCAAGUCGAACGGAAAGGCCCUGCUUGCAGGGUACUCGAGUGGCGAACGGGUGAGUAACACGUGGGUGAUCUGCCCUGCACUUCGGGAUAAGCUUGGGAAACUGGGUCUAAUACCGGAUAGGACCGCACUUUAGUGUGUGUGGUGGAAAGUUUUUUCGGUGUAGGAUGAGCUCGCGGCCUAUCAGCUUGUUGGUGGGGUAAUGGCCUACCAAGGCGGCGACGGGUAGCCGGCCUGAGAGGGUGUACGGUCACAUUGGGACUGAGAUACGGCCCAGACUCCUACGGGAGGCAGCAGUGGGGAAUAUUGCACAAUGGGCGCAAGCCUGAUGCAGCGACGCCGCGUGGGGGAUGAAGGCCUUCGGGUUGUAAACUCCUUUCGCUAGGGACGAAGCUUUUUGUGACGGUACCUAGAUAAGAAGCACCGGCUAACUACGUG
rnacentral:rRNA from 1 species